AGAGAGGCCACAUAAAAGGUGUGAGCUGGGAUGCGGCGCUGCCUUCUGGGAGACCUAGUUGGAUGACUGACAAAAAUCUAUUACAGAGGAAGGGGCGAGCAUGACUAAAAGGGCUCUAGCUUUUAUGUCCUGCGUCUCAAGUGCUGUUCAGAAAGCUCUGUGUGUUUAUGCCAUCAACAGCAGUUGAGCUUGAGAGAAAAAGGGAAAGCUGGGACUGUUCUUUCACCUUUAGUAAGAUCACACACAGCAAUGGCCACACUGAAUCAGCGUAUGAAGAAAGGGCAAAGGCUUGUUUAGCCUAGAGAUGAGAAAGCAAAGGAAAUGAGUCUGCAGCUUUUGACACCCUAAUGGGAAAUCUAUACAGAAAAUAAAGCCAAACCUUUCUUAGAAGUGCCCAGCAGAAGGACAUGAGACAAAGGGCACAGUUGCUUUCACUAAACAGGAGGUAAGUGUUCUUCCUGGUAAGAGAAGAAGUAAGCUGGAAGAGGUUGCCCAGAGAAGAUGGGGAAUCU